rnacentral:rRNA from 1 species
CCAUUGAUUGCAUAGCGAGAUGAGAAUGAUCGUCACAGUAGGAGCUGAAACACGUCAAGUCCUACCGGAGCUGCAGUAGGAUCUCACAUGAGCGAAAGCUGAUGAGCACGGCGCGUGUGUGAUGAAGCUUUCGGGUCGUAAGCACUGUUGUAUGGGAAGACAGCUAGAUAGGAAAUGAUUUUAGUUUGACGGUACCAUACCAGAAAGGGACGGCUAAAUACGUGCCAGCAGCCGCGGUAAUACGUAUGUCCCCGAGCGUUAUCCGGAUUUAUUGGGCGUAAAGCGAGCGCAGACGGUUUAUUAAGUCUGAUGUGAAAGCCCGGAGCUCAACUCCGGAAUGGCAUUGGAAACUGGUUAACUUGAGUGCAGUAGAGGUAAGUGGAACUCCAUGUGUAGCGGUGGAAUGCGUAGAUAUAUGGAAGAACACCAGUGGCGAAGGCGGCUUACUGGACUGCAACUGACGUUGAGGCUCGAAAGUGUGGGUAGCAAACAGGAUUAGAUACCCUGGUAGUCCACACCGUAAACGAUGAACACUAGGUGUUAGGAGGUUUCCGCCUCUUAGUGCCGAAGCUAACGCAUUAAGUGUUCCGCCUGGGGAGUACGACCGCAAGGUUGAAACUCAAAGGAAUUGACGGGGACCCGCACAAGCGGUGGAGCAUGUGGUUUAAUUCGAAGCAACGCGAAGAACCUUACCAGGUCUUGACAUCCUUUGAAGCUUUUAGAGAUAGAAGUGUUCUCUUCGGAGACAAAGUGACAGGUGGUGCAUGGUCGUCGUCAGCUCGUGUCGUGAGAUGUUGGGUUAAGUCCCGCAACGAGCGCAACCCUUAUUGUUAGUUGCCAGCAUUCAGAUGGGCACUCUAGCGAGACUGCCGGUGACAAACCGGAGGAAGGCGGGGACGACGUCAGAUCAUCAUGCCCCUUAUGACCUGGGCUACACACGUGCUACAAUGGCGUAUACAACGAGUUGCCAACCCGCGAGGGUGAGCUAAUCUCUUAAAGUACGUCUCAGUUCGGAUUGUAGUCUGCAACUCGACUACAUGAAGUCGGAAUCGCUAGUAAUCGCGGAUCAGCACGCCGCGGUGAAUACGUUCCCGGGUCUUGUACACACCGCCCGUCACACCAUGGGAGUUUGUAAUGCCCAAAGCCGGUGGCCUAACCUUUAGGAAGGAGCCGUCUAAGCAAGAACAAGAUGU